rnacentral:rRNA from 1 species
AGAGUUUGAUCCUGGCUCAGAUUGAACGCUGGCGGCAUGCCUUACACAUGCAAGUCGAACGGCAGCACGGGAGCAAUCCUGGUGGCGAGUGGCGAACGGGUGAGUAAUAUAUCGGAACGUGCCCAGUCGUGGGGGAUAACGUAGCGAAAGCUACGCUAAUACCGCAUACGAUCUAUAGAUGAAAGCGGGGGAUCGCAAGACCUCGCGCGAUUGGAGCGGCCGAUAUCAGAUUAGCUAGUUGGUGGGGUAAAAGCCCACCAAGGCGACGAUCUGUAGCUGGUCUGAGAGGACGACCAGCCACACUGGAACUGAGACACGGUCCAGACUCCUACGGGAGGCAGCAGUGGGGAAUUUUGGACAAUGGGCGCAAGCCUGAUCCAGCAAUGCCGCGUGCAGGACGAAGGCCUUCGGG